AGGACGAACGCUGGCGGCGUGCUUAACACAUGCAAGUCGAACGGUGAAGCCUUUCGGGGUGGAUCAGUGGCGAACGGGUGAGUAACACGUGGGCAAUCUGCCCUGCAUUCUGGGACAAGCCUUGGAAACGAGGUCUAAUACCGGAUACGACGCAUCCCCGCAUGGGGUGUGCGUGGAAAGCUCCGGCGAUGCAGGAUGAGCCCGCGGCCUAUCAGCUUGUUGGUGGGGUGAUGGCCUACCAAGGCGACGAC
rnacentral:rRNA from 1 species